rnacentral:rRNA from 2 species
UACGUAGGGGGCGAGCGUUGUCCGGAAUCAUUGGGCGUAAAGAGCGUGUAGGCGGCUUGGCAAGUCUGACGUGAAAGCCCGCGGCUCAACCGCGGAUUGUCGUUGGAAACUGCCUCGCUAGAGUCCGGAAGAGGAGAGCGGAAUUCCUGGUGUAGCGGUGGAAUGCGCAGAUAUCAGGAAGAACACCCGUGGCGAAGGCGGCUCUCUGGGACGGUACUGACGCUGAGACGCGAAAGCGUGGGGAGCGAACAGG